rnacentral:piRNA from 1 species
UGCCCUGCAAAGUCUCUUGUGGGAAAAAU